CUCCCCCGGGACCAGUUGGCGCGAGGGGACCCGGUGUGCAGAUAUUGCUUCCUACAAAUUGCUGAUGUUACCUUUGGAAAGAAAUGCAAAGGAUUCAAGGUCACCUUAGGAACUUUGAAAGAAGUGUUCGAUAAUUUUCUACAUGCAAUUUAAAAUACCCGUGGUUCACACUGAAUUUGAGAGCACCAGGAGUCCACCAGGCUGCCUACUGGAGAAUGAGAGAUCAUGAAGGAAAAUUGAAAUGCCCUAUUCCACAGCCAGUCCGUCCCCACAUUGUGAAUGAGAUGAUUUUGGACCAGCCAGCUUCAAGCCAAAAUGCCAGUUGGCAGUAGAACCAGUGGCUGACCACAGAGACGUGAGUGAGCUCAGUUGAUACCAGCUGAAGAAAAACGUGACUGAACACAGUGCCAAAUAAUGAUUCACAUGAUCAUGAGCUAAAUAAAUGAUUUCUGUUAAGCU